rnacentral:rRNA from 1 species
AGCGAACGCUGGCGGCAGGCUUAACACAUGCAAGUCGAGCGGGCAUCCUUGUGGUGUCAGCGGCAGACGGGUGAGUAACGCGUGGGAACGUGCCCUUCGGUUCGGAAUAACUCAGGGAAACUUUAGCUAAUACCGGAUACGUUCGAGAGCAGAAAGGUUUAUCUGCCGAAGGAUCGGCCCGCGUCUGAUUGGCUAGUUGGUGAGGUUACGGCUCACCAAGGCGACGAUCAGUAGCUGGUCUGAGAGGAUGAUCAGCCACACUGGGACUGAGACACGGCCCAGACUCCUACGGGAGGCAGCAGUGGGGAAUAUUGGACAAUGGGGGCAACCCUGAUACAGCCAUGCCGCGUGAGUGAUGACGGCCUUAGGGUUGUAAAGCUCUUUUCCCCGGGACGAUAAUGACGGUACCGGAGGAAUAAGCCCCGGCUAACUUCGUG